UGUAAGCGUAUACCAAAGUUGUUGCAGUUAAAACGCUCGUAGUCGGAAUUUGGCAGUUCCGGAAGUGUGCACGUCGUGUGCGCACUUUGCGGGGACUGCUUUUGUGGUCUUGCGUAGGAUGAGGCACUUUCAUCAGUGAACGUCCUCACGCAACCACUCUUUACUGUGAGAAAAUCAGAGUGCUCAAAGCAGGCAUUUGCCGUGAAUGUAUUAGCAUGGAAUAAUAGAAUAGGACUCGGUUCUAUUUUGUUGGUUUGUUGGGACUGAGUAAUGAUUAAGAGGGACAGUUGGGGGCAUUUGUAUUCCGGCGCUAGAGGUGAAAUUCUUAGAUUGCCGGAAGACAAACUGCUGCGAAAGCGUCUGCCAAGGAUGUUUUCAUUGA
rnacentral:rRNA from 1 species